CACAAUUAAUGAAAUGAAAUACGGCUAAUACCUGAGGUCGAAAGGCCGGUAUGGAAACCCCCGUAUUAUCUAUGGCCAAAUAUGAUGAACAGGUUCCGAAAACGAAAGCCUAUUGCUAUCAGUCAAGUACCACACUUCAAGGGUACCCGAUAAAGAGAAGGAUUUCAAAGAAAAGGAUCAUGAAUGAAGUUAUAUGUGAUAUUGUACUUAUUGAAUGAAUAAUGUGUUAUGUGAUAUAUCGCU
rnacentral:lncRNA from 1 species